UCUCAUUAGGGAAAGAUGAUAUGCAUAUGCACACAUGUAAAGAGGAGUGACAGUAAUUAGCCAAAAGCUCUGUGGACAUAAUUGCCUCUGAUGAAGUGCUGACUGAUGACAUCAGACAGUAGGCUAUUGACAGUGUACCCCGGGGAAAGCUAAAUGCAAAAGAGAAGCGAACUGCCUCAUGAAGUGAGAUCAGGAUUACAGGGUCAGAAAUGUGGAGAGGGUGAUUCAGAUGGACAAAGGAGCAGAGGCAGGAUUCAAGUGAUGUGUUUCGGAGGCAGUGCAGCCUGUUUGUGCUGAGUGGAAGGUGCACGAGGAACAUAGUAGACGGUAACAUGAAGGCAGGAGCUGUGAAGGCCUUUGAAGGUCAGGCCAGUUGUAAUAAAACUAUUUCACAUUGUCAGGUAUCUUGCGAUGGUUGCCAAACAUUUUUCUAUGGUUUGCAUAAAUACAUAUCUAUUUUAUUUAUGUAUUUAUUUAUUUUAUGUAUUUAUUUUAUUUAUUUAUUUAUUUAUUUUUUGAGACGGAGGUUCGCUCUUGUUGCCCAGGCUGGAGUGCAAUGGAGCAAUCCCAGCUCACUACAACCUCCGCCUCUCAGGUUCAAGCAAUUCUCCUGCCUCAGCCUCCUGAUAGUUGGGAUUACAGGGUCCCUUGAAGCCCAGGCCAAAUGGCCCUGCUGUGGCCUUGCC
rnacentral:lncRNA from 1 species